GUCUAGCUGACGACUCCAAAAUAGAACAAAACUCGUGUCCUGGAU
rnacentral:hammerhead_ribozyme from 1 species